rnacentral:tRNA from 1 species
AGUCGGGUUAGCUCAGUUGGAAGAGCGUUGGAGUCAUAACCCAAAUGUCGUCAGUUCGACCCUGACACCCGCUA